rnacentral:rRNA from 1 species
GACGAACGCUGGCGGCGUGCUUAACACAUGCAAGUCGAACGAAGUGGCGAACGGGUGAGUAACGCGUAAUCAACCUGCCCUUCAGAGGGGGACAACAGUUGGAAACGACUGCUAAUACCGCAUACUGAAGGAGGGGAUUGCGUCUGAUUAGCUAGUUGGAGGGGUAACGGCCCACCAAGGCGAUGAUAAGUAGCCGGGCUUGGAGGGUGAACGGCCCCAUUUGGACCGGGGACCGGCCCCAACCUCUACGGGAGGCCGGCGGGGGGAAUCUUCCGCAAUGGACGAAAGUCUGACGGAGCAACGCCGCGUGAGUGAUGACGGCCUUCGGGUUGUAAAGCUCUGUUAAUCGGGACGCGGUACCGGAAUAGAAAGCCACGGCUAACUACGUGCCAGCAGCCGCGGUAAUUC